rfam:Hordeum vulgare subsp. vulgare, WGS project CAJW01000000 data, contig: morex_contig_1592377
UACAUACUCCUUUCGUCUUAAAAAUCUUGUUUUAGAUUUAUCUAAAAAUGAAUGUAUGUAGACAUGUUUUAGUAUUUAGUUAUAUCAAUUUUUAGACAAACCAAAGACAAGAAUUUUAAGAUGAAGGGAGUAUAUA